rnacentral:rRNA from 1 species
UGAGUGACCUGCCCUUGUGCGGGGGAUAACCCGGGGAAACCCGGGCUAAUACCGCAUGCUCUCUUUGGGCUUCCGGGCCUGGGGAGGAAAAGUGCUGUAAGGCACUGCGCAGGGAGGGGCUCGCGGCGUAUCGGGUAGUUGGUAGGGUAACGGCCUACCAAGCCGAUGACGGGUAGCCGGCCUGAGAGGGUGACCGGCCACACUGGGACUGAGACACGGCCCAGACUCCUACGGGAGGCAG